GACGAACGCUGGCGGCGUGCUUAACACAUGCAAGUCGAACGAAGUGGCGAACGGGUGAGUAAGGCGUAAUCAACCUGCCCUUCAGAGGGGGACAACAGUUGAAAACGACUGCUAAUACCGCAUACUGAAGGAGGGGAUUGCGUCUGAUUAGCUAUUUGGGGGGGUAACGGCCCACCAAGGCGAUGAUCAGUAGCCGGUCUGGGAUGAGGAACGGCGACAUUGGGACUGAGACACGGCCCAGACUCCUACGGGAGGCACCAGUGGGGAGUCUUCCGCAAUGGACGAAAGUCUGACGGAGCAACGCCGCGUGAGUGAUGACGACCUUCGGGUUGUAAAGCUCUGUUAAUCGGGACACGGUACCGGAAUAGAAAGCCACGGCUAACUACGUGCCAGCAGCCGCGGUAAUUC
rnacentral:rRNA from 1 species